GGCAAAACAAAAUUGCAUUUUAUCUGCAACACGUUCGCACGUGAAGAGUUCCAAAUGUUUCUGUGUAGGUUGAGAUUGAAGAAGUAAGAACUAUCGUUUUUCAAUAAUUUCCAAAAUUUUUAUUUUUGCAAAUAAUGAAUUUUUGAUUAGAAUUGAACAGAAUCUUGUAGAUCCUAAAUCCUUGAACAUCAAAAACUUAUUAUUUUUCAUUUAUUGAAUUAAAUUAUAGCUUUAUAACCGUAGAUGAUACAAAAAAAGAAAGUGGAGGCAUUUUGAAGAUCUCAAAAUCACCAUUAUUUGUUUUACACAGAUCUGUAUAAUUCCUAUACACCAAUCAUACAUCAUCUUUAUUCUUAACAAGAAAAGUUGAAAAUGAAUUUUCUCCAAAAAUUGUAUUGAAAAUAUAUAUGUAUAUACACACAUUCGCGCGCGCUCGGACACAUACACAUAUAUGAUUCUUGAGUUUUACACUUAUCAGCAUUGAAAUAACUUCACUCAUCCUUUAAGUAACUCCAAGCAAUUUCUUCACACCUAAGAUAAGAUAUCAAAAAGGUGAGAUGUAUCAGAAAAUGAUAACAUUAAAACUGUCUGAUUAUCAUAAUACAGUAACACCUUGUGUAUCUAAGCUAAUCAUCACAUAUUCCACUCAGAUAAUCGAAUAACUUUGUUUUCACCUGUUGUUACCUAUUUAUUUUGACUGAACAUAUGAUGAACUAAAGUAUCGGAUCAUCUCAUGAGUAAUUCUUCAUGUUUGAUUAAAAUUAAAUUAAAAUGAUGGCGAUAGUAAGAAUGUAAAAUUAAGAGAGAAUACAUCAUUGAUUAAUGAUGCAUACGUCUGAUAUACAUAUAUAUAUCAUAGAAAACUGUAUUGCUUAUGAGAUGAUCUAAUAUCAAUUGCACUAUAGUAUUUUAAUUUACAUAGUGGUAUUCUGCAAGGUAUCUAUUAUCCUAACACAUUAGCUUUACUUUGAGAAAGCAACGUAUAAAUUACUUUAUUCAUAUUUUUCAAUAAUAUUACUUGGUCCUCAGUAGCUUAAUCAAUUGCUCUGAUAAUCGAGGUAACUUACUUGGUGGUGGUGACGGAUGGCAUUGGUGCUUGGCUUAGGUGACUUUGCAGAAAGUUGAUCCGCUGUUGUAGCGAUGGGUUCAUCGGGGUGUUACCUCCUGACUUAGCGCCACCCAGGCCCGCCAAUGAGCCCGUGCAAUUCGGUGUAUUGUUAUUACCCCUGUAUAAACGAAAAUGAUUGUCUUGUCAUUAUUCUAUAUUUUAUCUUUCAUGGACAGGUAAGCUUUCAGUCUCUCCUUAUCAUUUCUCUUCUUUUAUUUUCUCUUUUGCUUUCCUUCUUUUUUCUCCUCCUUUCCUUUCCUUUUUUUUUUUUUUUUUUUUUUUUGAAAUGCUGACCUGUCCUCGACUUACUCAUUCUUCUUGUAACAUGUAAUGCGUGAUACGCCAUUCAGCGGGGCGCUCAUUAUGCAGCGUAAAAACUAUAGAAGAGGUAUAGAUAAUGAAUACAUGAAUAAAGUGGAAAAAAUUGCGGAGGGACCAGCGAGAGAGAUUCGAAAUAUCCAAAGUACGAUCCUUAUUACAUAAAGUUCGGUGGACGAAAUAAAUUUCUUCUUACAUUCAAUUUGUUGAAAUUAAGUUCGUGAAGAUACGAAUUUACAUAAAAUCCCGCGAUCUACUUAUAAAGUAAAAUUUGACGAAGUUUCUCUAUAAAUGUAACGAGUAGGUGUCUUGCAACAUGCGUAACCGGCUUCACGUAAAAAAUGGGCAGGGAUCUUGGAGCAGUUAGCGAUCGAUUGUCUCAUCUUUUAUUUCAACUGAGAAAACGUACAUUGAUAAUACAGUGACGAUGUCGCCGUAUAAUGAAGUUAUAAAGCUUAAGGGGCCAAUGUACAGCGAGAUAUUUGCAUAGAGAAGUUGGUCGAAAUCGGAUUUCGAAAAGUUUGACAAAAGUUUCGAAUUAAAUUCGUGACAUACGGGGGCUAAAUGCACGAGCAACUAUGUACCACUGUUGUUCACAUUCAUACGACGAUCUUACGAUAAAAAUGCACUUUCUGCGAUUUAAUCUCAUUUUGAGUCGAUCCCAACAGAUUUUUAUCCAUGUGCGUUUCAUUUGAAUAUUUAAAAAAAUGGUAUCUAGAAAAUUAUGACGAAAUCGGUUUGACAAAUGCGGAAGCGCGUCGGUUGUUUAUUUAAUUAACAAAUGUUGAGUUUUGAUCAUAGGAACAAUUUGAUGCGUACGUUUACCGUGCUUCUGUAAGCUUUUAUUCGUUCGCUUAUGAAUUUUAUGACGUGUUUAUUUUUAAUUCGACGGAGAUCAGUGACUUUUUCUUAUGUCAUGUGAAUGAGGUAGGGAAUUAAUUUCAAUCAAAUUUUCGAUAUAAAUAUUCCACUGUACACAGGAUAUUUAAAGAUACGAUUUGUUCCAGUGAUACGAGAUACCCAGUAUAGAUAAUCAGAUAAUUUAUUCAUAAUUUAUUCGAUACAUUAAUACGCUUUCAUCGAUUAUAACAUUUCAUUAAGAAACAAAGAAUAAAUCCCUCGCAUUAAAUCAAAUAUAUUCUAACGAAUUUCUCUCUACUUAACACUUAGCCAAUCGAAUAGGGAGAUCUCCCCUUUGUGAAGAACAUCGCUGCGUGGCCGAACGGGGAGAUGUCCCUUUUUGACUUUUGCAACGCGUUUUCUUUAUUUUCUUUUUUGCUAUUAACAGUUAUUGUCUAUCUGCAAUUGUUGCCAAUUAAUCGCGCCACUUUUUCUCCUCUUACUAAGUACAGUAUAUAAUAAAAUACAAUUAAAAUUAAUUAAAAAGCUACACUAUCGGUUAUGACUAAAUAAAGUUAUAAUCGAACGAUAUCACAUUGUAAAAAAAUACUAAAACGCAUUAUGAAUUUUUAAUUUCACGUUCCAAUCGUGUUAUUUAUCUUUGGUCAUCUUUAACUUUUUUAAUUUUACCUAUAUUUUUUAUACUUUUAAUAUAUACUGUCAAUUUGAUGUUUUCUACAAACAAUAUGUGAAAUUGAUCAAACGAAAAUAUAAUUAACCACUUAAAUAAUUUUUAGACUUCUUUGUAUUUUAAGCACUGAGCAUUAGUAUACCUCGCUGUGGCGCGUGCGGUUGGCUAAAUGUUAAAGUAAUUCUCCUUCUACUCCUUCCCUAAAAAUGAAACUGAAGUAUUCUUAUUAAUUAUAGUAAGACAAAUAUUUCCUAUAAAGGGAACUGCGAUCUCUCGUCAUCGGCAGGUAAAGUAAAAAAAUGUCUCUCUUCCUAAAUAAAUAUCUUACAAGAAAUCUCGAAUAAAUUAUCGAAUAAAUUGACGUACACUAUAGUCAUAUCAAGCAACUGUUUCUCGUUAAAACGAAAUAUAGUAGAAACCAUGUGAAAAUCUAGUUUCGUAGGAAAAGUACAAAGUCGGUUAACAACUAACAGUUGUAGCAAUGAAGCUGCUGACAAUAAAGAUUUUACACGCACAUCACUGUUUUUCGAUAUUGCAUAGUACGGAUGUGUUUUAGCCAAACCAUUGUUAGCCAACAACAUCUCGCUAACUCUUAAAGGAUCACAAGAACGAAAUUUCGCUCCACGCGAAUUGCAACAUCACGCUAUUUCAAACGACCUUCUUCUAU